rnacentral:rRNA from 1 species
CCUACGGGAGGCAGCAGUGGGGGAUAUUGCACAAUGGGGGGAACCCUGAUGCAGCGACGCCGCGUGGGUGAAGAAGCGCCUCGGCGCGUAAAGCCCUGUCAGCAGGGAAGAAAAUGACGGUACCUGAAGAAGAAGCCCCGGCUAACUACGUGCCAGCAGCCGCGGUAAUACGUAGGGGGCAAGCGUUAUCCGGAUUUAUUGGGUUUAAAGGGUGCGUAGGCGGACAGUCAAGUCAGCGGUAAAAAUGCGGUGCUCAACGCCGUACAGCCGUUGAAACUGGCAGUCUUGAGUGGGCGAGAAGUAUG